rnacentral:lncRNA from 1 species
GGCCAUUCUGGUGAUAAUGGUUGUACUCCAGGUAAAAAAAUAUUAUAAUUCUUCUAUUCCACAUAUGUAGUUGUUUCGGUUAUUGUUAUAUGUUGUUUCCUUCGUAUAUAUGCAAGAUCUUAUCAUCGAGUUUCAUUGGCAAGUUAACUUUAAGAAUCAUAUUAAGCUGGCAGCUAUGGUUGGUACUGAUGGGAGUUGCUCAUUUUAGGUGCUGAUGGUCCAAGAAUUGUAAAGAUAAGGCGGGGGAACCUUAUUUGUGUGGUGGAUGCAAGUAUGUUAUGAGGUCAAUUUGUAACUUAUUAUACUGCAGUAACGGACCAAGCCAUGAAUUAGUACCAAACUUCAGGAUUGGUGAGAAGAAGCAUGAACUUAUAAUGUUGUUAGUACCCUAAUCUUGACUUGUCGCUGAUGGACCACAAUGUUCAAGCUCAGCAAAUACUCUUGAACAGCAAAAAUUAUUGGGUCUCAAAACACCUGCAAAUUAAGCCGCUUGAUGAAAGUUCAGAUAUGUGUGAAGUCUUGGCAUUCCCAUGUAAUCAGUGGUGUUCAUUUUUGAAAUACUGCUUUGUACUCCCUCCAUAACAAAAUGUAAGAUGUUUUUGUGCCCUGUGCAAACCA